UGUCCAUAGAAUUCUGAAACUCAACUAAGGGUCAGAACCAGGACUAAACUCCAGGUCUCAAUUGCAAAGUCCAUUUACAACAGUUUUUCUUUUAAAAGACUAAGUGCUAGGAGCUAGAGGCAAAUAAGGAAGUGGAGUGCUGAUCUUGAGCCUAAGAAUUUCCCCAUGCUGAGAACAAGUUCACAACAGAAGAGCAGAGAAGAGAGACCUAUCUCAGGUACAGGAUAGCUGCUCCAUCAGCAGGACAGGGGUGUCCCUGUGUACCACUCUCCCAGCCAACACUUUCCCCUCAUCUGAGUAACAGCUCCUGGCACUCUGAGCUUGUUUCCACAUCUGUUGAAAAACAUAGAAGACUGCCAACACUGCUCUAUAUUCACACAGGGGUACCAGGAAGAGACAAUGAGACAAAAUCUGUAAAAAUACUUG